AGUCGAACGAGCGAGAGAGAGCUUGCUUUCUCGAACGAGUGGCGAACGGGUGAGUAACGCGUGAGGAACCUGCCUCAAAGAGGGGGACAACAGUUGGAAACGACUGCUAAUACCGCAUAAGCCCACGACCCGGCAUCGGGUUGAGGGAAAAGGAGCAAUCCGCUUUGAGAUGGCCUCGCGUCCGAUUAGCUAGUUGGUGAGGUAACGGCCCACCAAGGCGACGAUCGGUAGCCGGACUGAGAGGUUGAACGGCCACAUUGGGACUGAGACACGGCCCAGACUCCUACGGGAGGCAGCAGUGGGGAGUAUUGCACAAUGGGGGAAACCCUGAUGCAGCGACGCCGCGUGGAGGAAGAAGGUCUUCGGAUUGUAAACUCCUGUUGUUGAGGAAGAUAAUGACGGUACUCAACAAGGAAGUGACGGCUAACUACGUGCCAGCAGCCGCGGUAAAACGUAGGUCACAAGCGUUGUCCGGAAUUACUGGGUGUAAAGGGAGCGCAGGCGGGAAGACAAGUUGGAAGUGAAAUCCAUGGGCUCAACCCAUGAACUGCUUUCAAAACUGUUUUUCUUGAGUAGUGCAGAGGUAGGCGGAAUUCCCGGUGUAGCGGCGGAAUGCGUAGAUAUCGGGAGGAACACCAGUGGCGAAGGCGGCCUACUGGGCACCAACUGACGCUGAGGCUCGAAAGUGUGGGUAGCAAACAGGAUUAGAUACCCUGG
rnacentral:rRNA from 1 species